AACGAACGCUGGCGGCAUGCCUAACACAUGCAAGUCGAACGAAGUCUUCGGACUUAGUGGCGCACGGGUGCGUAACGCGUGGGAAUCUGCCCUUGGGUACGGAAUAACUCAGAGAAAUUUGUGCUAAUACCGUAUAAUGUCUUCGGACCAAAGAUUUAUCGCCCAAGGAUGAGCCCGCGUAAGAUUAGCUAGUUGGUGGGGUAAAAGCCUACCAAGGCGACGAUCUUUUGCUGGUCUGAGAGGAUGAUCAGCCACACUGGGACUGAGACACGGCCCAGACUCCUACGGGAGGCAGCAGUGGGGAAUAUUGGACAAUGGGCGAAAGGCUGAUCCAGCAAUGCCGCGUGAGUGAUGAAGGCCCUAGGGUUGUAAAGCUCUUUUACCAGGGAUGAUAAUGACAGUACCUGGAGAAUAAGCUCCGGCUAACUCCGUG
rnacentral:rRNA from 1 species